rnacentral:rRNA from 1 species
UACGUAGGGGGCGAGCGUUAUCCGGAAUUACUGGGCGUAAAGGGUGCGUAGGCGGCCCUGCAAGUCAGGAGUUAAAGGCUUCGGCUCAACCGAGGUAAGCUCUUGAAACUGUAGGGCUUGAGUGCAGGAGAGGAGAGCGGAAUUCCUAGUGUAGCGGUGAAAUGCGUAGAUAUUAGGAGGAACACCAGUGGCGAAGGCGGCUCUCUGGACUGUAACUGACGCUGAGGAACGAAAGCGUGGGGAGCAAACAGG